GGCAGCGCACCUGGAGUUAAUUCAUAGCAAUCAACAGAGGGUAUAUAUGGCCAGCUUCACCGUCGCCUUAACGCCAGUUCGUCAACCCACCUAAAUCCACUGGCCCACUAUGCCACGACACCACCACUAAGAUUCACGUUUUGGAUUCUGGUCACAAACCCUCACAGGAUUUUCAGCCACACUCCAGGGAGUAUCACCAACCGCACUGACCUGCCUGCCCUCCUUCCAUCACCACCCACGCGAGUCCUGGAAUACUCAGGUCAGACCUUCUUAACACUCCUCUGCCAGUCAUCCGGACCUCUGCCUCCCCCUCCAAGCCUCAGCAGCCUCCUGCCCAAUGCACCAGUCGCCGCUUAUGUCAUGUACCUCGGGCUACCGCGCUACAAUUCUCUACCUAGUAUUAUAUUGUGUAUCAAGAUACGCCAAGGUUCUAGGUUUUGUUUCUCCUUGUCAGUCCUGUGUCGUUGUAAAUAAAAGCUUCUUUAGUUCAACUGUUCUG